rnacentral:rRNA from 1 species
AUGGCGUCGAUGGCUGCCUACAGCAGAAUUCUGGUACAACUCGUCUUUCCAUUCCCCGAUCAAAUGCUCCCCCUUAAAGCUCUAUACGGAGUGGAGCCCAACCUGGGCGCCAUGGCACUCUGGGAUGACAAGACGGUGCCCAUGAUCAACGGCAAGCCCUGGGACUGGGGUGUGCACAUGACGCGGCUGCGCGAGCACAUUCUCCGUGCCCAUCAUCGAUUCAAGAAGCAGGUCGAUCAGCACCGCACCGAGCGCUCCUUCAAAGUGGGCGACGCUAUUCUCCUCAAGCUCCAACCCUAUGCGCAGUCGUCGGUGGCGAACAGACCCUGCGCCAAGCUGGCGUACAAGUAUUUUGGGCCAUUCACGGUGAUCGACAAGAUCAGCAAGCUGGCGUACAAAUUGGAGUUGCCGGCGGACAACAAGAUCCACCCCGUCUUCCACGUGUCACAGCUCAAGCCGUUCACCCCCAACUAUACACCGAUCUUCUCUGAGCUGCCCCGACCGCCAGACCUCACCGGCCACGACGACAAACCGUCGGAGAUCCUGGAGCGAUGCAUGAUCAAGCGCGGCAACAGCGCCCUGGUGCAGGUCAAGGUGCGCUGGCCCAACGACGAGACGGCGAUGACUUGGGAGGACCAUGACACCCUUCGCCGCCGAUUUCUACAAGGACCGGCGUGGGACACACCAUCGAUCGGCGACGAUGAGCAGCAAGCAGCUCCUGAAGACGAUGCCUGUUCUGAAGGAGUGGGGAAUGCCACACCGGCAUCACCAGGAGAUGAUGCGGUGGACGCGUGA